rnacentral:rRNA from 1 species
GACUCACGCGGGAAAUCUUACCGGGUCCGGACACACUGAGGAUUGACAGACAAAUAUGGAAAUUUUAUAUUUCUCAUAUAUAAAGAUGCUAGUUCUUUCAUGAUUAUGUGAUAGGUGGUGCAUGGCCGUUCUUAGUUCGUGGAGUGAUCUGUCUGCUUAAUUGCGUUUCAAUUUUUAUUAUGUAUACGUAUGACCCACGUUUACGCGUGCGAGUCUAGUAUGCUAUCAUUUGAAAGCAACGAACGUGACCGUAUCCUUUUAUUAUAUACGCACGCGUAUAUUUAUUCAUUAAAGGGACCGCUGUUUCUUUUUUUAAACCAGAGGAAGGUUACGGCAAUAACAG